GAGGAGGUGGGGGACGUGGAUGCCUGAUGCGCUGGCGGCGCGUCGUCUUGCGCGCCGCUCGCGUGAUGGCGGCCGCCACGCCGCCUUCACGC
rnacentral:tRNA from 1 species